ACCAGGGUGGCCGAGUGGUUAAGGCGUUGGACUUAAGUUCCAAUGGACUAUUGUCCGCAUGGGUUCGAACACCACCUCUGGUA